rnacentral:lncRNA from 1 species
AUGGGCUGUGGGAGGGAACUGGGAGGGAACUGGGCUGGACUGGGCUGGACUGGGCGGGCUCUGCUCCCCGCGGGCACCGCCCCCUCGAGCCCCGCCCCCUCCUGCUCUCUUGUUUUCCAUUGGUCAAUUAGGGAAGCCAAUCACGAAGCUAAUCCAAUCAGGCGGCGGCAUGGGUGGCGGGCGGGGCUCAGAGGCGGGGCCCCGCCCACCGCCCGCCUGAGGGAGCGGCCGCGGCGGGGACGCCGUUUCUCAUCCCAACAUCCCCUCCAAUUCCAACAUGACAGUGGGGUAGCACUGCUGGACCAUCUUUGCCAAGGUUGGUACAAUUUUGGGUCUCUGGCUUUUGGAUGGCUUUGCCAUGGGAAUUGUUCACUGUUCUGAGCCAUGGCAGUGCAGAGAAGCUGGGAUUUGUAACCCAGGUAGUGGGGAAGGGAUGUGUUUUGGGAGUGUUACAAUAAUUACAGGUGCUGAAGUAGCUGAAAUCCUGGAACCUGCCUUCCUUCCCUCUGUUAUUCCAUCACUUUUCACAACCAUUUCUCCACCUGUGUCUUGCUCCAGUUCUAGUUUGCAGUCACAAUGUGUCCUCCAGCCUCUGCACUGGCCCCUGUGGGCUUUGGAUCCACUUUUGGGAGCACAAAAGAGCUCUAAGGACUUUUGAAAGGCAGCUGGUCCAUAAGCACAGGCCUGAAAUACAGAGGGAAAAUCAAUGUCUGUUAGUCUUGCAAGCAGCAUUGAACAUGGGCUGUAGCUGCUGAAGCUCAACAUUCUGUAAUUUCUUCUACAAUUUAUGAUUGUUUUUUCUUAUUGCCCUCAGAACCACCUCAAAUGUGUUGUGUGUGCAGCUGUUAAAAAUUGUGUUAAUCCAUGGAUGGCUCCUGGGAGCAGGAAUGUUCAGCCAUUGCUUUGGGUUUGCUACUGAACACACAAAUACAGAAAUACCCUUGUGAACCAUAAAAUGUAACAGUCAUGUGUAUCCCACUGUCAGAGUGACUGAGAAUUACUCAGCUUUUUACUGCAAGAUUAAAAAGCUGCCUGAGAUUCAAUACAGAAGUGGCCAAAAGAAGUAAUAAAAAAGAGGUGAUGGAAAUGGACUAAAGAUAG